UUGCACCGAGCGGAUGAGUUGCGAACGGGUGAGUAACGCGUAGGUAACCUGCCUCUUAGCGGGGGAUAACUAUUGGAAACGAUAGCUAAUACCGCAUAAAAGUCGAUAUCGCAUGAUAUUGAUUUGAAAGGUGCCAUUGCAUCACUAAGAGAUGGACCUGCGUUGUAUUAGCUAGUUGGUGAGGUAACGGCUCACCAAGGCGACGAUACAUAGCCGACCUGAGAGGGUGAUCGGCCACACUGGGACUGAGACACGGCCCAGACUCCUACGGGAGGCAGCAGUAGGGAAUCUUCGGCAAUGGGGGCAACCCUGACCGAGCAACGCCGCGUGAGUGAAGAAGGUUUUCGGAUCGUAAAGCUCUGUUGUAAGAGAAGAACGAGUGUGAGAGUGGAAAGUUCACACUGUGACGGUAACUUACCAGAAAGGGACGGCUAACUACGUGCCAGCAGCCGCGGUAAUACGUAGGUCCCGAGCGUUAUCCGGAUUUAUUGGGCGUAAAGCGAGCGCAGGCGGUUAGAUAAGUCUGAAGUUAAAGGCUGUGGCUUAACCAUAGUACGCUUUGGAAACUGUUUAACUUGAGUGCAGAAGGGGAGAGUGGAAUUCCAUGUGUAGCGGUGAAAUGCGUAGAUAUAUGGAGGA
rnacentral:rRNA from 1 species